GAACUAAUCAGUUUUAAGUUAUCUUAAAUCACCACCACUGAAUCAUUGGUUGGAUUAGAUAACCGACUAGGAUAAUUGUUCAGCAGACGCUGCAUUUUCAGGAGCCCCUCCUGAUUUCUGCCCGAUCUUCUGCAGAGUCGCGCAAACCGCUUUCCCCUGCGAUCCCUGGUGCUUCAAGACACGGAGUCCCAGUCUGUAACUUUCGGUCUUAAAAAGCAGACUUGCCCUUUAGACGGUUGCUCAGUUAAUUUAAACGUCUUGCGGUCUGGAGGUAUUUUGGAGACGUGCCGAAGACAAAGCUUCCACACUCUGCACGUGUUCAGAGGGCUGCUGGUUGUUAUCUAAGAUUGUUUGACCUCUCUCCGGUCAGAAUCGUGGCCCGCAAAGAGAUUCCGAGGCUAAUCUUUAAUUCGAAGCAUUCCACUGCUCCCUUACCCGCGCAUCGUCCCCCCCCACCAAACCUAAGAACCUUUUUUUUUGCUUCUGGACUCCGCUUUCCGAGAACGCCUUCGCUCAACUUCGUUGCUCGAGCUGCCCUUGCCUCGCUCGGUCGCUAGAUGGCGCCCCGGAGUUCUGUGCGCGCGUUGCCCAGCCGCGGCUUCGCCUUUGGUGGCGGCGGCCGCUCGCUCCGCACCGGCUCGAACCGUGAGUGGCAGAAGGGGAAUCGGAGCCGCGGGAGGACGGGCGGGCGGAAAAACCGACACGGGGCGCCGUAGGAGCGGAGGCUGCGGCCGGGCUACAGGUGACAGAGCCCGGGCUGGUUCCUUGGUCGGAGCAGGGAGAGACGAGGCGGGGAAUGAGGAGGAAAGCGAGUUAUUAAGUAAAGCCCGAACACUUGUGAAUGGGACACUGGUAUGUUGAUGUUACAGCACAUGAAGUCUAAGGUUGCAAUUGUGCUCCAUAAUGGGACUUCCUUCAGAGAAUAUAGACAUGUACAGGACUGUCUUGUAAGGUACUCUAUACUAGUCUGCCUACCAUUUCACAUGGUUGCAGCUAUUAAGACCUGAACUUGUUCUUUUAGACUAUUUAUGUUUUAAGUGCAGGACAUGUUAUUGCAGAUUUGAAGCAGAGAGAGAGAAAAUUAUUUUAUAACAUACAGUGAAGUGGAAUUUAGGAUCUGGCUAGGCUGUGCUAUUAAAUGUGCUGUGUAUUCUUGGAAGUCUUCUGUCCAUCUGUGAAAUUGAAGGCAUUGAUUUCAUGUGAUGGAAGCUAGGAAGCUGAUCCAAUUUAUAUUGGUAUAGCUUAUAGCUCUUCUAGGUUGUUGUUGAAGUUUCUUGUUUU
rnacentral:lncRNA from 1 species